rnacentral:rRNA from 1 species
AUACGUAGGGGGCAAGCGUUAUCCGGAUUUACUGGGUGUAAAGGGAGCGUAGGCGGUUAUGCAAGUCAGUCUUAAAAGUUCGAGGCUUAACCUCGUGAUGGGAUUGAAACUGUGUAACUGGAGUAUCGGAGAGGAAAGUGGAAUUCCUAGUGUAGCGGUGAAAUGCGUAGAGAUUAGGAAGAACACCGGUGGCGAAGGCGACUUUCUGGACGAAGACUGACGCUGAGGCGCGAAAGCGUGGGGAGCAAACAGGAUUAGAUACCCUGGUAGUCCACGCUGUAAACGAUGGGUACUAGGUGUAGGAGGUAUCGACCCCUUCUGUGCCGGAGUUAACGCAAUAAGUACCCCGCCUGGGGACUACGGUCGCAAGACUAAAACUCAAAUGAAUUGACGGGG